AGUGAACGCUGGCGGUAGGCCUAACACAUGCAAGUCGAACGGCAGCACAGUAAGAGCUUGCUCUUACGGGUGGCGAGUGGCGGACGGGUGAGGAAUACAUCGGAAUCUACUUUUUCGUGGGGGAUAACGUAGGGAAACUUACGCUAAUACCGCAUACGACCUACGGGUGAAAGCAGGGGAUCUUCGGACCUUGCGCGAUUGAAUGAGCCGAUGUCGGAUUAGCUAGUUGGCGGGGUAAAGGCCCACCAAGGCGACGAUCCGUAGCUGGUCUGAGAGGAUGAUCAGCCACACUGGAACUGAGACACGGUCCAGACUCCUACGGGAGGCAGCAGUGGGGAAUAUUGGACAAGGGGCGCAAGCCUGAUCCAGCCAUACCGCGUGGGUGAAGAAGGCCUUCGGGUUGGAAAGCCCUUUUGUUGGGAAAGAAAAGCAGCAGGUUAAUACCCCGCUGUUCUGACGGUACCCAAAGAAUAAGCACCGGCUAACUUCGUG
rnacentral:rRNA from 1 species